rnacentral:rRNA from 1 species
AACGCGAAGAACCUUACCUGGGUUUGACAUGGAUCGGGAGUGCUCAGAGAUGGGUGUGCCUCUUUUGGGGUCGGUUCACAGGUGGUGCAUGGCUGUCGUCAGCUCGUGUCGUGAGAUGUUGGGUUAAGUCCCGCAACGAGCGCAACCCUUGUUCACUGUUGCCAGCACGUUAUGGUGGGGACUCAGUGGAGACCGCCGGGGUCAACUCGGAGGAAGGUGGGGAUGACGUCAAGUCAUCAUGCCCCUUAUGUCCAGAGCUUCACGCAUGCUACAAUGGCUGGUACAGAGAGUGGCGAGCCUGUGAGGGUGAGCGAAUCUCGGAAAGCCGGUCUCAGUUCGGAUUGGGGUCUGCAACUCGACCUCAUGAAGUUGGAGUCGCUAGUAAUCGCAGAUCAGCACG